AGGCAGCACCAUUUCAGCCCCUUGCAGACCAGCAGGCGGUUCUGGGGUAGCGGUAGACCCAGAGAUCUUCAGGGGCUGCCAGGCCCCUACCCCAGCAAACCCUGCUGUCUCAAGAUUAUCUCCUGAGAAACCCAGUGUGAAAUUCACUUCUACCUGGAAGUCUCACUCUUCUCACCUCAUCCAGCUCAGUUCCCCACAGGAAAGGCUUGGUGCAGAAGGGGACAUGGUUCAAUACCUGGUUUGGGAAGAUUCCACAUAUCUUGGAGCAGCUAAGCCUGUGCACCACAACUACUGAGCCCACAUGCUGCAGCUACUGAGGCCCAGGCACCUAGAUGCUCAGCAACAAGAGAAGCCAUCACAAGGAAAAGCCUGUGCGCCCAAUGAAAGUAGCCCCCGACUCGCCACAACUGUACAAAGCCUAUGAG
ensembl:lncRNA